UACGUAGGUGGCAAGCGUUAUCCGGAUUUAUUGGGCGUAAAGGGAACGCAGGCGGUCUUUUAAGUCUGAUGUGAAAGCCUUCGGCUUAACCGGAGUAGUGCAUUGGAAACUGGGAGACUUGAGUGCAGAAGAGGAGAGUGGAACUCCAUGUGUAGCGGUGAAAUGCGUAGAUAUCGAGAGGAACACUCGUGGCGAAGGCGGGUUCCUGGACAUUAACUGACGCUGAGGCACGAAGGCCAGGGGAGCGAAAGGG
rnacentral:rRNA from 2 species